AAUGAACGCUGGCGGCGUGCCUAACACAUGCAAGUCGAACGAGAAAGCCCGCAAGGGUGAGUACAGUGGCGCACGGGUGAGUAAUACAUAGGAAUCUGCCUCUGAGUGAAGAAUACCCUAGAGAAAUUUAGGUUAAUACUGCAUAAGCCCAGAAAUGGGGAAAGGUGGCCUCAAGCUACCGCUGAGAGAUGAGCCUAUGGCCUAUUAGCUAGUUGGUAGGGUAAAAGCCUACCAAGGCGAGGAUGGGUAGCCGGCCUGAGAGGGUGUACGGCCACACUGGAACUGAGACACGGUCCAGACUCCUACGGGAGGCAGCAGUGGGGAAUUUUGGACAAUGGGCGAAAGCCUGAUCCAGCAAUGCCGCGUGUGUGAAGAAGGCCUUCGGGUUGUAAAGCACUUUUGUCCGGAAAGAAAUGGCUCUGGUUAAUACCUGGGGUCGAUGACGGUACCGGAAGAAUAAGGACCGGCUAACUACGUGCCAGCCGCCGCAGUAA
rnacentral:rRNA from 1 species